GAUGAAGAACGUAGCGAAAUGCGAAAAGUAAUGUGAAUUGCAGAAUUCAGUGAAUCAUCGAAUCUUUGAACGCACAUUGCGCCCGCCAGUAUUCUGGCGGGCAUGCCUGUCUGAGCGUCAUUUCAACCCUCACGCCCCUAGGGCGUGGUGUUGGGGAUCGGCCAGCGCCCUCGCGGGCGAGGCCGGCCCCUAAAUCUAGUGGCGGACCCGUCGUGGCCUCCUCUGCGAAGUAGUGAUAUUCCGCAUCGGAGAGCGAUGAGCCCCUGCCGUUAAACCCCCAACUUUCCAAGGUUGACCUCAGAUCAGGUAGGAAUACCCGCUGAACUUAAGCAUAUCAAUAAGCGGAGGA
rnacentral:misc_RNA from 1 species